GACGAACGCUGGCGGCGUGCCUAAUACAUGCAAGUAGAACGCACAGUUUAUACCGUAGCUUGCUACACCAUAGACUGUGAGUUGCGAACGGGUGAGUAACGCGUAGGUAACCUGCCUGGUAGCGGGGGAUAACUAUUGGAAACGAUAGCUAAUACCGCAUAAUAUUGAUUAUUGCAUGAUAAUUGAUUGAAAGAUGCUAUUGCAUCACUACCAGAUGGACCUGCGUUGUAUUAGCUAGUAGGUGAGGUAACGGCUCACCUAGGCGACGAUACAUAGCCGACAUGAGAGGGUGAUCGGCCACACUGGGACUGAGACACGGCCCAGACUCCUACGGGAGGCAGCAGUAGGGAAUCUUCGGCAAUGGACGAAAGUCUGACCGAGCAACGCCGCGUGAGUGAAGAAGGUUUUCGGAUCGUAAAGCUCUGUUGUAAGAGAAGAACGGGUGUGAGAGUGGAAAGUUCACACUGUGACGGUAUCUUACCAGAAAGGGACGGCUAACUACGU
rnacentral:rRNA from 1 species